AGGUGGGGUCGAUGAUUGGGGUGAAGUCGUAACAAGGUAGCCGUAUCGGAAGGUGCGGCUGGAUCACCUCCUUUCU
rnacentral:rRNA from 1 species